UGUAGAGCCCUACUGUUUAAUAACAUUGGAUCCAUCGUUUUUAAAAGAGUCCACCUCCAUUAAAAUCUUUUGACUAAUUUUCCAAUCCCAACUGGCACGGGUUGAUCGUUUACUCUUGCCGCAUAUAUUAUCCCCUGAACUUUGCCUAGGAUAAACUCGGUCUUUAGAGCCUCCUCCAUAUUUACUGACGUCGAGACCUGCCAGUUGGAAGGAGUCAACCUUUUCUUAUAAUGGAGGCAGAUCUAAGCCUAUACUACUCUCACCACAGGGGCGAUACGAGUGCAAAAAUACAAGAGGUGGAAGGAAGUUUCGAUUAUAGUUCCACAAAAAUGACACAUCCACUCCUCAGGAGUAUCUCGACUCUUGUUGGAUUUUGGAAUACCACGCCCGGACUCACAUUUGAAGAGUUCCAGUCUAGACCAAGCAUCUCCUUUCUUCUACUCACGAGUACUUCGGGGUAAGUACGUCUUAGACUCUUGAAUACGGCUUUUCUGAUUUUUCAGAAAGGUCACAGCAAAGAAGAAUGGAAUCGGAGGCCCGUUUGACACAUGGCCCCCAGGCUGUGAGAAACUUAUUCGAGCCCUCCAUAAUAAUAUAAAGUGCUUCAAAUCCACUUCCUUUGCAGAGGAAUUGACAGGUUGAAUAUAGGUCGACCUCCAAGGCAAACUCAUCUCUACUCCUCAGUCUCGGGUUAAAAUUUAAUGGCUCUUUAGGGCCGAGAAAAGGAAGUACAGAAUUGAAAAUACCGGCCCAUGAUGAUCUCAUGUCUCACCAAUACGAUCCGCAAUUUUUAGUAACUGAAAGGAGUUCCGUUGGCCGUUUUUAGUAACUUCUACAAACUUUUCUUUAGUUAUUUUAGUCCAGAAAUCUUCACAGUCAAGGAGUCUUUUGAUCUAUGAGAAGUUUAAUGUUUGCCACAUAGACUUAAUGUCUAGAGAUCCAAGUCCCCAGCCAUUUGUCGGAAUAUUAACUCUAUUUCUUGCUAUGUACGGCCUCGAAAGCUUCCAAAAUAGAUCGUUCCUAAUCUUAAAUACUUCAUCACACAGUUCGACUGAGAAUGGGAUGUGCCUCAUUAGAUGAAAAACUUUUGGAAGGACGUUAAUGUUCCAUACUAACAUUGCUUCGUAUCUAGAGAGGGGAGUGAUCCUAUAAAUCAUGAUACUUCUUUGGAGGAUAUUAAUUAUUGUAUUUUCGUUCUUGCUUCUAGCCUCAUGGUUGGACAAAGCACAUUAUUCUAAGUAGAAAGAUUGACGUAACAAGCACUAAGUUACCAAUGUGUGGCCUCAGGAAUUCUUCAAAGUUGGACAAAAUUUCUAUCUUCCUAAGAUUAUUCGUAAGUCCCGACUUCCUCCAGAAAAUCUGGAGCACCUCCAUGGAAGAAUUAAUAGAUUUCUGCAAGUCAUUUUCACAAGUUGUAAGAAAUACAGCCUUCAAUGCUCGAAUCAUUUAUGAGCAUCUCGUAUAUUCU
rnacentral:lncRNA from 1 species